rnacentral:lncRNA from 1 species
CUCUGGAGGAGGCAGCGGCAGCCCAGGAGAACGUGUUGCACAACUGGGCUCCUCCAUUUCCAGCCUGCCAGGAAAACUGAGCUUUACACCCGAAAACUCAUUCCCAAAAUAAUCAGCAUGAGCUUGGGAGUGAACUGAGAAGCCGGGUGUGCAAGGGGCAGCAGGAAUGUGUGUCAGGAUAUACUUCUUUCUGCUGGAAUAGCAUAGAAUCAUGGAAUGGUUUGGGUUGGAGGCACAUUAAAGCCCACCCAGUGCCACCCCAGCCAUGGCAGGGACACCUCCCACUGUCCCAGGCUGCUCCAGCCCCAAUGUCCAGCCUGGCCUUGGGCACUGCCAGGGAUCCAGGGCCUGCCCACCCUGCCAGGGAACAAUUCCUGCCCAAUAUCCCAUCCAGCCCUGCCCUCCGGCAGUGGGAAUCCAUUCCCUGUGUCCUGUCCCUCCAGGCCCUCGUAAACACAGUUCUCACUUCCUGGAUCUACUUGUAAAAGAUGCGAGCCUGUAAAACUGUGAAUUUCUGUGCUUUUUGAGGGCUGCUCGUUGUUUGGAUUUACUUUCCCCCACAUGCUCUCCUCUUCCACCACUGACCAGCCCCUCGUCCUUCCGGAGGACACACCGAGAAUACUCCGGGGUUACACCGAGAAUACUCCGGGGUUACACCGAGGCUACACCUGCACACCACGCGUUACCUCCGCCUUUGCCAAGGACACAAACGUGUUCCAUGUGGGCAGGUCCCAGCCAUACAGAAGGGAUGGGGAUUCCAGGGAAAUCAGGUGCUGCUUUCAGUCCCCUCCUGAGACGUUUUCCAAGAUGUGGAGACCCCAGCAAUGAACAGCUUUGCUGGAAUUCCUCUGGAAAUGAGGAGCUUUCCCAGCAUCCAGCAGGUGCCAGCUCAGGAUAAACCCAGAGGAUGCUGAAUAAAGGAUCAUUUCUGUGGUGGUUAAAGGUGAUU